rnacentral:rRNA from 1 species
UACAGAGGUCCCAAGCGUUGUUCGGAUUCAUUGGGCGUAAAGGGUGCGUAGGUGGCAUGGUAAGUCGGGUGUGAAAUCCCGGGGCUCAACCCCGGAACUGCACUCGAUACUGCCGUGCUCGAGUACUGGAGAGGAGACUGGAAUUUACGGUGUAGCAGUGAAAUGCGUAGAUAUCGUAAGGAAGACCGGUGGCGAAGGCUAGUCUCUGGACAGUUACUGACACUGAGGCACGAAGGUCAGGGGAGCAAACGGG